AUAAUUUUUAUGCGAAUAAUAUUUUCUUAUAUAAAUGCUUAAAUAUGUCAUAAAUAUCCUGAAAUAUUAGCCUUUUUAAGGCUAAAUAACAAAGCGAGAAAAAGGCUAGAGAAUGCCAGAAGCUGAAACUUAAAGCUAAAUGAUAAAUAAAAAGGCUACAUUUAGCCUUAAAAAGGCUAACCUGGCAAUACUGGAUGUAACAAAUUGGCAGCCACAUUAAAGUUUUUGGCGCAAUGUGGAUAUCAGCACCAGAUAGGCCAAGAUCGUUCCUUAGGUAUUUCGCAAUCAUCCACUUCAGCUUGUAUAGGUGAAGUUUGCGAAGCUAUCCAAACAAAUCUUUUUACCAAGCAUAUUGUUUUCGAAAUGUGUGAAGAGAAAAGGAUGGAAACCAAAAUAUUUUUUAAUACAAAAUGUUACAUACCAGGGGUAAUUGGAGCCGUUGAUGGAACUCAUAUUCAAAUUAUAAGGCCAAAUAAUAAUGAACAUUUGUAUUUCAACAGAAAAUGUUCCAAACUGGUGAUACUGGAACAAGAAUAUUAGGUGACUCUGGAUAUCCAUUGGAACCAUGGAUUUUGACUCCAUAAAGAAAUGCUGCUGAAAAUUCCGCGGAAUCCUAUUUUAACGACCAACAUUCAAAAGGAAGGUCGAUUAUUGAAAGAACGUUUGGAUUAUUAAAAGCAAGAUUUCGUUGCCUACUAGCAGCAAGACUCCCCUGAAAAGGCGGUCCGAAUUCUUAAUGUUUGUUGUGCACUACAUAACAUUUGUUUACUGUACAAAGUUGAAACCCCUAUUUUGCAAAAUGAGGAUAUAAGCAGUAUAACUUUAACCAUUAACAAUAUCGAAAGUAAUAUAGAAAGUAUUUUUUCUAAUAUUGCAAAAAAUAUUAGAAAUGAAAUUAAAAAUAAUAUGACAAGAAGUUAAUAAAACGUUUAUACUAAAUUUCAAUA